UCCAGGAGCCAUGAAUGAGCAGAAUCCCAAACCAGCCCCAAGGUCUUUCCACUGAGCCUUGAACAUUGUGACAUGGCUGCUGGCACAACCGGGCAGGUGGUGGUGGGCUGCCUGGCGAGCAGCUUUUUUCCCCUGCCUGCAACUAUGCAAUGGGACUACAGUGGAAACUCUGCCAUAAACUUCCCUCCAACUGCAACCAAUGGGGGGUCCUACACCAUGAGUAGCCUGCUGACUCUUCCAGCUGACCAGUGCCCAGAAAGCAAGUCUCUGAACUGCCAGGUGACACACGCUGGUACCAUCAAGUCUGCAAGUGUGCCCUGCACUAUAGUUUCAGGUGGUCCCUGCUGCACCCCCCAGUGCCCGGCCUGUGACAAGCCUCGCCUGUCACUGCACAAGCCGGCCCUCGAGGACCUGCUGCUGGGUUUCGAUGCCAAACUCACCUGCAAGCUGAGUGGCCUGAAAAAACCAGAGAAGGCUUUGUUUACCUGGACACCAUCUAAUGGCAAGGAAGCCAUCCUAGGGAGCCCCCAGCAGGAUGACUGUGGCUGCUACAGUGUGUCCAGCAUGCUGCCAGGCUGUGCUGACCCCUGGAACCAAGGAGACACCUUCUCAUGCUCUGUUACCCACCCUGAAGUUGAGGGCACACUCACUGCCACUAUCUCGAAGCAGAAAGGGAACACUUUUCGACCCCAGGUACAUCUGCUGCCACCACCAUCGGAGGAGCUGGCCCUCAAUGAGCUGGUGACGCUGACCUGCUUGGUGCGUGGCUUCCACCCUUCAGAUGUGAUGGUGCGGUGGCUACAAGGCAGCCAAGAGCUGCAGAACCAGGAUUAUGUGACCUCGGCUGCACAACCCGAGCCUGGCCAGGGAGUGAGUACCUACACUGUGACUAGCUUACUGCGUGUGGAUGCCAAGACCUGGAAGAAUGGAGAGAAUUUCUCCUGCCUGGUGGGCCAUGAGUCCCUCCCUGCGAACUUCAUGCAGAAGAACAUCGACCACCUGGCGGGUAAACCCUCCCAUGUCAAUGUGUCAGUGGUUGUGACAGAUGUGGAUGGCAACUGCUACUGACCAGCCACCUGCCCACCAGCCCACAGCCCUGAAUAAACUCUAUGUUCACCCACAGCA